rnacentral:rRNA from 1 species
UACAGGGGGUGCAAACGUUGCUCGGAAUUAUUGGGCGUAAAGCGCGCGUAGGCGGCUACCUAAGUCGGAUGUGAAAGCCCCUGGCUUAACUGGGGAAGUGCACCCGAAACUGAGUAGCUAGAGUACGAAAGAGGGUCGCGGAAUUCCCGGUGUAGAGGUGAAAUUCGUAGAUAUCGGGAGGAACACCGGUGGCGAAGGCGGCGACCUGGGUCGAUACUGACGCUGAGGCGCGAAAGCGUGGGGAGCAAACAGG